GAAUUGAAUUUUGUUUGAUUUUUUCUUCUUUUGCUGCUGCUGAUUUAUAUAUAAUCAUAUUAAUGGUGAUGAUGAUUGCUGCUGUUUUCUGUUGGAGAGAAGAAAAAAAAAUCAUGAUUGACAAUGAUGAUCAUCAUGAUUAUAAUACCUGAAGAUGGUGGGUUUCAAUUCAUUGAUUUUCAAGAAAAUUAUGGAAAUACAUCCUGUGAUUACCUGGCUAAUUACUGACAAGUUAAUGGUCUUUAUCAUUCUUGGUGAUAAUAAACUGGACACAAGUAGAUAAAUUUGUCUUCUGUUGUUACCAUUGAUUGUCCUGUUAAUCUGUUUCUCAAUCCUAAUCUCAUUUCAAUGGAUUUCAUGUCUAUUUUUCCCUCUCAACAAAUUAAACGUUCCCAAAAUCACUGAUAAUUAAUCAAUGUCAUCAGUUUGAUGGAUAAGAUUUACAUGAUUUACUUAACAAUAACGAUAACCAUUUUCUGUUGUAAUUGGAUUGGAUACUCUAAUUAGUUAAGCUACAGCAAACAUAAUGCAUAAAGAACCAGAAAGGAUUUCUGAUUAGAUUGUUAUUGUUAUUGACCAGUUACAUUUGACUUUUCAAUUUAAAACCACAAUUUGAUUAAUUUUAAAUGAGGAAUAUCCAUACAUCUAAUUGGAAACACGAUCCACUAAUUGUAUUGAUUAUUACUUAAAGUCCAACAGAGAGAGAGAGAGAGAGAGAGAGAGAGAACCUGGAAACCCUACAUGGACCAUUCACUGUAUACGGUGACCACUGACCGAUUGAGACAAUUAUCUACAGUAUAGCAAUGAAUUGCAAGAGGCCAAAGUAAAUUUGCUUUUCAAAUCUACGGAGAGAGAUUUCUCCAAUCAUCAAUAAAUGAUUGUCAUAACAAUCAUGACAAUUGUCUAUGAUUAACGGAACAUCAUCUUCAUCACCAACAUACAAUAACAUCAACAGCAUCAAUCCUGGUUCAAUGACAGUAUCCGCAUCAUCAUCAUCAUAUAUUUUUGAUAUAUAAUUGGCAAUUUUCAGUUUCAACCUGAAACCAGAUUAACAAGAAAGGCAAAAGAAAUGAGAGAGAGAGAGAGAGAGAUGAAAACGAACACACAGUGAAGAAACUAAGGGAGAUGAAGUGAGAGUGAGAAAGAAAAUCUCAAGAGAAUGAAAUCUUUACCAAAGAAAAUGGUAAAACCUGAAAAAAGGCAACAACUACAGCUAACAACAUGUCUUCAUUAUCUUUUCUAUGGAUUAAUAUCUAUCCACGCCAAAGAAAAAAGUUCCAAGAAAAAGAUGAACAUCAUCAUCAUCGUGAUCAUCUCAUCAAGACCACAAAGGAAAAAAAACUGAAUUACCUGAAUGAUUCCUGGUGAUUCUGGUGUAUUCAUAUACAUGUGUGUGUGUAUAUAUAUAUGAUGAUGAUGAUUAUGCUAUUAUUAUGAGUGUGAAUUGAACUUUUAAAAAGUAAUCAAGAAGAUGAUGAUUAUGAUGAAGAUAAACCAUGAAAAGUUAAGUAUAAUUUGUAAUUUUCAUGGUCACACACACACAAUCAUCUUUAAUCAUUUCAAUGUUAAAACAAUAAUUAGUGGACUAAAAGCUGCAGUUUCAAGCAAUCAAUUGAAACGUUAAUUGACCAUAAACUUAUUUACUGGUCAAAGUUCUGGAUGUUUUUGUUUUCUCUCAUUCUCCUAAUGUAUAUACGAUAUGGAUAAAAAUGAAAAGCCCAACUUGGAAUACGAUCUUUAUCAUGAUCGGUAAUUUAUCAAAUGCAUUUAAUAGCAUCAUGUAUUAUUUGCUGUUGUAAUUAGUACAAACAAUAAGUAAUUCAAAUUAACCAUAAUAACAACAAUGAUCAUGAUCAUUGUUGAUAAUGAUUAAUAUAAUUAGACUCUUACAAAUCGUUUUCAUCAAGAAGAUCUUGAUCUUGGCUGUAAUUAUAAUAAUCGCAAUUGAGUUGGAAAUCCUUGAUGGUCAAUCAUCAAUCUUGACCAGGUCAGUGUCCAACAACUUCCGGCUUCAAGGUUUAAAUGAAGAAGUGGUAAUUGAAAUGAAUGUUCCCUUUCAUAUCAUCAUGAUGUUCAUCCUCAUGAUAAUUCAUUCCAUUCAAUAAUUACAACCAAUUAAUCAACCCCCUCCCUCCCUCUCUCACUGUCUCCCUGAAAAAAAGUAUCAAAACAAAUAUGAGAAAGUUUUGUUUUUCAAAGGAAAUGAUUAUAUUGCUUGCAAAAUAAUGAAGACAUUGAACACGCAUUGAAAAGCAACACUCACUGAUUAUCGUGGUGUAAAUAAAUGAUAAUAUUGGCAAUAUGUUAUCCAAUUGAUAUUCAUAAAUCCUCUGGAUAAAUAUGGAAACCAUUGUGAAAACAAACCCAUCAAAGUGAUAAGGAUACUCGUAAAUAUUAUGGACGUUAUUUAUUACUAUUAUUUCAUCCAUUCAAUUAUUUACUUCACUAUUAUUAUUAUUGUCGUGAUUACCAUUUUCUUGGGUGUAUCUUCAUGAAAAGAUGACGAUGAUGAUGAUGAGAGGCCCACAGGUAACAAAGAGAGAGAGAGAGAGAGAGAUUACCACUCAUAAUGAUUAUCAUCUUUAAGCUGUGGAAAAAGUUGUUCUUUAGGUUGUAACUGCUGCCCAUAUGACUACGUGAGAUGAAGGUAGGCCAUUGGGAGGAGGGGUGGUAGAAAUGGUGGAAAAGGGAUGGAGGGAGGAUGAGCCUCACCCAACAAGCCAUCAGACAACGACCAUGAUGAUGAUAAUCAUCAUGAGCAUCAUCAUCGUGCCUUUCUUACCUUCUUUCUCCACAUUAACUUGAUUCUCUUAUUAUUACCUUCGUUUAAUGUUAGAAGCGUUUUUGAUUAAAAGGCCUUUUACCAAUA